AACGAACGCUGGCGGCAGGCUUAACACAUGCAAGUCGAGCGCCCCGCAAGGGGAGCGGCAGACGGGUGAGUAACGCGUGGGAACGUACCCUUUGCUACGGAAUAGCUCCGGGAAACUGGAAUUAAUACCGUAUGUGCCCUACGGGGGAAAGAUUUAUCGGCAAAGGAUCGGCCCGCGUUGGAUUAGCUAGUUGGUGGGGUAAUGGCCUACCAAGGCGACGAUCCAUAGCUGGUCUGAGAGGAUGAUGAGCCACAUUGGGACUGAGACACGGCCCAAACUCCUACGGGAGGCAGCAGUGGGGAAUAUUGGACAAUGGGCGCAAACCUGAUCCAGCCAUGCCGCGUGAGUGAUGAAGGCCUCAGGGUUGUAAAGCUCUUUCACCGGAGAAGAUAAUGACGGUAUCCGGAGAAGAAGCCCCGGCUAACUUCGUGCCAGCCGCCGCGGUAACAC
rnacentral:rRNA from 1 species